rnacentral:rRNA from 1 species
UACGUAGGGUCCGAGCGUUGUCCGGAAUUACUGGGCGUAAAGAGCUCGUAGGUGGUUUGUCGCGUUGUUCGUGAAAACUCACAACUCAAUUGUGGGCGUGCGGGCGAUACGGGCAGACUUGAGUACUGCAGGGGAGACUGGAAUUCCUGGUGUAGCGGUGGAAUGCGCAGAUAUCAGGAGGAACACCGGUGGCGAAGGCGGGCCUCUGGGCAGUU